rnacentral:piRNA from 1 species
UGCGGGACAGGCUGCCUAGGCUCU